rnacentral:rRNA from 1 species
CGCCAGACUCCUACGGGAGGCAGCAGUGGGGAAUAUUGCACAAUGGGGGAAACCCUGAUGCAGCAACGCCGCGUGAGUGAAGAAGUCAUUCGUGAUGUAAAGCUCUAUCAGCAGGGAAGAAAAUGACGGUACCUGAGUAAGAAGCCCCGGCUAACUACGUGCCAGCAGCCGCGGUAAUACGUAGGGGGCAAGCGUUAUCCGGAUUCACUGGGUGUAAAGGGAGCGUAGACGGCGACGCAAGUCUGGAGUGAAAGCCCGGGGCCCAACCCCCGGACUGCUCUGGAAACUGUACGGCUGGAGUGCAGGAGAGGUAAGUGGAAUUCCUAGUGUAGCGGUGAAAUGCGUAGAUAUCAGGAGGAACACCGGCGGCGAAGGCGGCCUGCUGGACCGCGACUGACGUUGAGGCUCGAAAGCGUGGGGAGCGAACAGGAUUAGAUACCCUGGUA